GUGGGGAAUCUUGCGCAAUGGGCGAAAGCCUGACGCAGCCAUGCCGCGUGAAUGAUGAAGGUCUUAGGAUUGUAAAAUUCUUUCACCGGGGACGAUAAUGACGGUACCCGGAGAAGAAGCUCCGGCUAACUUCGUGCCAGCAUCCGCGGUAAUACGAAGGGGGCUAGCGUUGCUCGGAAUUACUGGGCGUAAAGGGCGCGUAGGCGGACAGCUUAGUCAGAGGUGAAAGCCCAGGGCUCAACCUUGGAAUUGCCUUUGAUACUGGCUGUCUUGAGUUUGGGAGAGGUGAGUGGAACUCCGGGUGUAGAGGUGGAAGUCGUAGAUAUUAGGAAGAACACCAGUGGCGAAGGCGGCUCACUGGUCCGGUACUGACGCUGAGGUGCGAAAGCGUGGGGAGCAAACAGGAUUAGAAACCCUUGUAGUCC
rnacentral:rRNA from 1 species